UACUAAAACACUGUAAAACUGUGUGUUUCAGUGGAAAAGAAUACCGAGAAAGAACCCGAGGGAUCGAGUCAAGGCCAAGAGGUGACUCGCUUAAGAUAUAGAGACUAGAGGAGCAGCAGAGUGAGCUACUGAGGAUUGAGGAGCUACCUACUUUGAAGUUAUCGGGUAUAUUUUAUACCCUGAAUGUAAAAACUAUUUUGAUAUAUGUAAAUGUAUAUAACUGUAUGGACAUGUAAAAUUGGUUAUGAGCAGUUGUAUAAAAUUGUAUAGAGUUGUAUAAAGCUUGUAAUAAAUUUUGAUUUGAAUUUCUCUUAA